AGUGAACGUUGGCGGCGUGGAUUAGGCAUGCGAGUCGAGCGAGAACCGUAGCAAUACGGGGACAGCGGCGAAAGGGACAGUAAUAUGUAGGUACCUACCCUCGGGUCCGGGAUAGCUGCGGGAAACUGCAGGUAAUACCGGAUGACAUCUCCGGAUCAAAGGUGUGAUUCCGCCCGGGGAGGGGCCUGCAUCCUAUUAGCUUGUUGGUGGGGUAACGGCCUACCAAGGCGACGAUGGGUAGCGGGUGUGAGAGCAUGACCCGCGUCAUUGGGACUGAGACACUGCCCAGACACCUACGGGUGGCUGCAGUCGAGAAUCUUCGGCAAUGGGGGCAACCCUGACCGAGCGACGCCGCGUGCGGGAUGAAAGCCUUCGGGUUGUAAACCGCUGUCGUAGAGGAGGAAAUGCAGGUGGGUUCUCCCAUCUGUUUGACCUAUUCUAGGAGGAAGUACGGGCUAAGUUCGUGCCAGCAGCCGCAGUAA
rnacentral:rRNA from 1 species